CCAGACUCCUACGGGAGGCAGCAGUAGGGAAUCUUCGGCAAUGGACGAAAGUCUGACCGAGCAACGCCGCGUGAGUGAAGAAGGUUUUCGGAUCGUAAGACUCUGUUGGUAGAGAAGAACGUUGGUGAGAGUGGAAAGCUCAUCAAGUGACGGUAACUACCCAGAAAGGGACGGCUAACUACGUGCCAGCAGCCGCGGUAAUACGUAGGUCCCGAGCGUUGUCCGGAUUUAUUGGGCGUAAAGCGAGCGCAGGUGGUUUAUUAAGUCUGGUGUAAAAGGCAGUGGCUCAACCAUUGUAUGCAUUGGAAACUGGUAGACUUGAGUGCAGGAGAGGAGAGUGGAAUUCCAUGUGUAGCGGUGAAAUGCGUAGAUAUAUGGAGGAACACCGGUGGCGAAAGCGGCUCUCUGGCCUGUAACUGACACUGAGGCUCGAAAGCGUGGGGAGCAAACAGGAUUAGAUACCCUGGUAGUCCACGCCGUAAACGAUGAGUGCUAGAUGUAGGGAGCUAUAAGUUCUCUGUAUCGCAGCUAACGCAAUAAGCACUCCGCCUGGGGAGUACGACCGCAAGGUUGAAACUCAAAGGAAUUGACGGGGGCCCGCACAAG
rnacentral:rRNA from 1 species